ACACUUAACGCAGAAGUGAGAUACCAUGAUCUCAAUGGUGAUUUCUCCGGGGCAAGUCUUGUCCAUUACAUUUAACUUCACUCCGGAUGUUCUGUCCCCAAAUGUGGGCAAUGUGACUGUAUAAUUUGUGGUAGUGGGGGACUGUGUUCAUGCUCUCCCCUA
ensembl:snRNA U1 U1 spliceosomal RNA